rnacentral:misc_RNA from 1 species
CCGAGUUCGUGCCCCUCGCGGGUAGAUCUCCCACCCUUGUGUAUCUCUUGUGUUUGUGUUGCUUUGGCAGGCCGUGGGCCCCCUGUGCUCACCACCGGCCCCCGGGCUGGUGCGCGCCUGCCAGAGGACCUUCUCAACUCUGUGUGUCAGUGUCGUCUGAGUGUGAUUGAGAAACAAUCGUUA